rnacentral:rRNA from 1 species
UUAUGCCGCGUGUGUGAAGAAGGCCUGCGGGUUGUAAAGCACUUUAAGGUGGAAAGAAGGCCUGAGGGCGANAUACCCCUUGCGGAUUGACGUUACCACCAGAAAUAAGCACCAGGCUAACUCCGUGCCAGCAGCCGCGGUAAUACUGGACGGGUUGCAACGCUGUUAAUUCGGAAUUACUUGGAGCAGUAACACGCGCGCGUAGAGCGGGUUCACUCCAGCUCUCGGCUGGUGACAAGCCCCUGGGCUUAACCUGGGGAACGGCACGUGGAUACUCGGUCGGCGCUCAGCAGUAUCCGGUACGAGGGGAGUGGACUUUCCGGUGUAGCAGUGAACUGCGUAGAGAUCGGCCGGAACACCAGUGGCGAAGGCGGCUCUCUGGACCAAUACUGACGCUGAGGUGCGAACGCGUGGGGAGCAAACAGGAUUAGAUACCCUGGUAGUCCACGCCCUAACCGG